GCCGUGUCUCUGUGGUUGAGCCUCUGCCUGGCGUGCUGAAGUUCCUGGGUUCAAUCCCAGCAUCUCCA
rnacentral:tRNA from 1 species